GACACCGGCUACGGAUGGCCAUGCGGCGCAUUAGCUGGUUGGCGGGGUAACGGCCCACCAAGGCGACGAUGCGUAGGGGUUCUGAGAGGAAGGUCCCCCACACUGGUACUGAGACACGGACCAGACUCCUACGGGAGGCAGCAGUGAGGAAUAUUGGUCAAUGGGCGCGAGCCUGAACCAGCCAAGUCGCGUGAGGGAAGACGGUCCUAUGGAUUGUAAACCUCUUUUGUCGGGGAGCAAAAGACGCCACGCGUGGCGUUCCGAGAGUACCCGAAGAAAAAGCAUCGGCUAACUCCGUGCCAGCAGCCGCGGUAAUACGGAGGAUGCGAGCGUUAUCCGGAUUUAUUGGGUUUAAAGGGUGCGCAGGCGGAAGAUCAAGUCAGCGGUAAAAUUGAGAGGCUCAACCUCUUCGAGCCGUUGAAACUGGUUUUCUUGAGUGAGCGAGAAGUAUGCGGAAUGCGUGGUGUAGCGGUGAAAUGCAUAGAUAUCACGCAGAACUCCGAUUGCGAAGGCAGCAUACCGGCGCUCAACUGACGCUCAUGCACGAAAGUGUGGGUAUCGAACAGGAUUAGAUACCCUGGUAGUCCACACAGUAAACGAUGAAUACUAAUUGUUCGGGGAGAAUGAUCCCUGA
rnacentral:rRNA from 1 species